AUAAAAUUACCCACAAAUUCAGGAUCCCCGACAAUAAGCCCACAUCGAAUUCGUGCUGACGCAUACAUACAAACUGACUACGAUUACGUAAAAGACGAGAACGAAUCCUUAAAAAAGGAAAAACGGUGCAAAAUAUGCUUCGAUGCAGACUGCGAAGGGGUUUUUAUACCUUGUUUCCACAUGGUAGCGUGUGAGUCUUGCGGGUUAAAAUUGAAGAAAUGUCCCUUAUGCAGAAUAGGAGUGAAAUGGAAGAAAGUUCAUUUGUAACAUGCAUCGAGAGAUCCCAUUAGCGAGACUAGUCAUCGAAAACGAAUCCACCCUGGAUGUCUGUUCCUCCAAGUAUAGACCAAACUUUGAGUGGAAUCCUGAUGCCAUAUCUAUGACGUUAUCACAGCACGUCACGUGGUCAUUCAAGAAAGAUAGGUUUAAACAAUUCCAUAUUAAAGUACAUGAUAAUGGUCUCCUUGGAGGACCGUUUAAUUACUGGCCUUGCCCGAUGAGGUGGCAGAAUCUCCAACACGUCGCCGUCACACUUCAGCUUCAAAGGGGUUCAUACACACCUUAUUAGGUAGCCAUCAAAUCGCUCCAGAUCUGAGUAGUUGACAGUUUUUUUAGAGUGAAGACCCUCAGAGGAGCCGUUUCCUCCAUUCUCAUGUCUGGCAAUCAGUUGCGGCCCAAAAGGAAAUCCUCACCUUCAUGUGAAUAAGAUGAAAAGAGGCAGGAGUGCCAAAUUCCAAGUGUGUCCACACAAUGUCACGAAAACCACAUCACCAUUAACAAAAUAACUGAAGCUACAUGUAAUGGGACCUUGAUCCUAAGGAGUCCCAGCCUAAUGUCCCCUGGAGCCAGCCCAAUGUCAGCAGCAAAGAGCAGAGAGAAACACUUGUAUUGAAAUACUGUUUGUCCGCCAUUCCCCUAGGAAUGCGGACACUAAGUAAUGCGGAUAUAAAGCCCAGGAAAUGCGUGUCCUGAAUCCCCCGUUCCUAGGAAAGCGUGCCAUGGGCAUUUUUCAUGGGACUAGAAGUCCCGCAGUCACCCGUUACUUAGUAUUCUAAGUCCCGCAGUUACCCGUUACUUAGUAUUCUUAGUCCUGCUGACCAGAAUCAUUCUCCUUGUACGACAUAAACUAGCAAUUGAUUUUUUCGGACGUUGUUUUGUUUGUAUAACAGUGGUAACGAAUAUGCAGUUUAAUAAUUUAAGCAUGAUAUUUUGCUAUUGUUAUGAUAGAAUAAGAAGAUACCUUGUAACCUUUUGUACAUGUACACGUGUACGGUUUCAAUAAAAUCUGAUGGGUUAUUCAUCUUAUUUCUAUCAUUCUUUUCAAAAAAUUCGUGAAUGAG